rnacentral:rRNA from 1 species
UACAGAGGUCUCAAGCGUUGUUCGGAUUCAUUGGGCGUAAAGGGUGCGUAGGCGGCGGGGCAAGUCUGGUGUGAAAUCCCGGGGCUCAACCUCGGAACUGCACUGGGUACUGCCUUGCUAGAGAUCUGGAGAGGAAACUGGAAUUUACGGUGUAGCAGUGAAAUGCGUAGAGAUCGUAAGGAAGACCAGUGGCGAAGGCGAGUUUCUGGACAGAUUCUGACGCUGAGGCACGAAGGCCGGGGGAGCAAACGGG